rnacentral:rRNA from 1 species
UAGUCAAUGCUCGCAAGAGUGAACUAGCUAACUGAAAUCAUAGAAUUUCUUAAAAUUCAUGAUGUCGUAAGGGAAAAUAAUGAUAUUACCUUACUAUGAGUGUCGUCCAAAGCUGGUGCCAGAAGACUCGGUAAGACCAGAGACGCAAACGUUAAUCAUCAUAAACAGGCGUAAAGGGUUUGUAGGCAGCUCCCACCAGACUAUGAUUGCAAAAUAAAGUAGUUUAAUUGAGAGCUAGAAUCAAAAAGAGGUUAUAGUGUAUAACGCCUAGAGGAGGGCUGAUAUCCAUAGAUCCUAGGCAGAAUACUCAGGGCGAAGGCCACUCUCCACUAAUGAUUGACGCUGAGAAACGAAGGUUAGGGUAGGAAAUAGGAUUAGAUACCCCGGUACUCCUUUCUGUAAACGAUGAAUGGUAGUCAUUAGUUUUAAAACUAGAGACGAAGUUAACACAAUAACCAUUCCGCCUUGUGAGUACUACUGCAAAGUAGAAAACAAAAAAAUUAGUCGGUCUCGAAGCAAACGGAGUGAAGCAUGUUAUUUAAU